AUGAUUCCCUCAGUAACGGCGAGUGAACAGGGAAAAGCUCAAAGUUGGAACCUCCUGGCCCUAGGUCUGGCGGAUUGUAAACUAAAGCUCUCGAGUAGUUCGGCUAGCCUGGUAAAAAAGUUCUCUGGAAAGGGACGACAUGGAGGGUGAAAUCCCCGUCUUUGGCCAGAGCAUAGUCCAACGUUUGCUUGGAAGUGAAGAGUCAGGUUGUUUGGUAUUGCAGCCUAAAGCUGGAGGUAAAUCUCUCCUAAAGCUAAAUAUUGACGAAAGACCGAUAGCGAACAAGUACCGUGAGGGAAAGAUGAAAAGCACUUUGAAAAGAGGGUCAAAAAGUACGUGAAAUUGCUGAAAGGGAACCGUAUGAAAUCAGCCUGUCUCUUUGGUAAUCAACCUGGAAUUCGUUCUGGGUGCACUUGCCGGUGAGUCAGCCUGCGACAAUUUGACUUGGGGGAAAAAAUCGGGGGGAAUGUGGCCUCGGCUUCGGUCGUGGUGUUAUAGCCCUUUGAAAAAUACCCUGGGUUGGAUUGAGGACUGCAGCGAGCCUUUGGGAUGAACUGKGGGUGCUUGGCUUUGCCUUGAAAGAAAUUUCUGCUUCGGGUGGUGUCUUUUUCGGCGGGGUCAACUCGCCUACUUUUUCUUUUU
rnacentral:rRNA from 1 species